rnacentral:rRNA from 1 species
ACGACUACAUAUCAGGCAUAUCAAUAAGCGGAGGAAAAGAAACUAACAAGGAUUCCCUUAGUAACGGCGAGUGAAGCGGGAAGAGCUCAAAUUUGAAAUCUUCAAGGUUUUACCUUGACGAAUUGUAGUUUAAAGAAGUGUUUUCUGUUAGAUUUGAGUAGAAAAGUUCCUUGGAAUGGGACAUCAUAGAGGGUGAGAAUCCCGUAUUUGGUUAUUCAUUCUAGCUUUGUGAUACACUUUCAAAGAGUCGGAUUGUUUGGGAAUGCAGUCCAAAAUGGGUGGUAAAUUUCAUCUAAAGCUAAAUAUUGGCGAGAGACCGAUAGCGAACAAGUACCGUGAGGGAAAGAUGAAAAGAACUUUGAAAAGAGAGUUAAACAGUACGUGAAAUUGUCAAAAGGGAAGCGUUUGACACCAGUGUUGUUUUUCCGAAAAUCAAUUACGAAUGGCUUGAUUUUGUGUUGUAUUGACCUUAUCAGCUUUCUUCACUUUUUUCGAGUCUUUCUUAAUGCACUUUUCGGUUAACAAGUCAACAUCAAUUUCUUUUGUUGUAAAAGAGUAUUCGGAAGGUGGCUUUCUUUUCGGAGAAAGUGUUUAUAGCCCUAUACUUCUACAAUCGGAGAGAUUGAGGUCUGCAGCGUAGAUCCUUCGGGGUUAGAUACACUUGUGCUAAGUUGUAGCCUUUCAUAGACAACUUGUUGACUAUGUUUAGUCAUGCGGCUUACUCGCUUCAUGCUAUUUUACCUACGCUUAGGAUGUUGAGUAGCGACAUACGCAC